AGUCAGUUUUGAUGACCAGGCCUAGGAGCCACUCUCAAAUCCAAUUCUCCCUACUUUUGAACCGAUUCAGAAGACUCGGAGACCUUGAAAAUGAAAUCAAUGAGAUGUUACUGGGAAUAUUUAUAAACCACAUCCUAAUGCUGCCACAGAUAAUGAAAGAAUACUUCGCAGAGUCAAGUCAAUCCAAGAGAGGAUGAGGAAUUUAUUUUCCAUGAUUUCCUAAAUUUACAUAACUCAAACUUCCAGCUUUUGAAUCUGAGAGGCCUUCCAUUUAGCAUCUCUCCAAUCCUCUUUUGAAGAAACCCAAACUGGACAGACAGUUACUGAAUUUUUGUAAUGUCCGAGGCUUCCAGGAGGAGUGACACAUAUCUCUGCUGGAUGAGCUCACAGUUCCAAUGAGAAGAUACAAGCUGAAAGAUUGCAGCAGAACUGGGAAGUGAAAGCACGGAGAGGCUGUGGGACAUGGAGGAGGGGCGGUAAGAUUGAGAAAGAGGUAACAGUUGGGGUGACUUUGGACCUGAGACCUGGGCAGGCAUAAGAAGUCUCACUCUCUAUUCCAUUCUUGGCAGGGGAUGUUUCUUUGUACCAGGUAGCUUUGCGCUUGUUUUGUUCCAUAAAAGUAAAUCUCUGUUCACUAAGGAAUUAUGGUAGUGAAUGGUGACUCUCCGGAAUUAUAGGGCUAAUUCCAAAAUAAUCUUAGUUUUAUUCCCCCACAUUGUAAUAUUAACACUUGGGAAUUUUGUUUAUCGCGAUGUUUAAUAAUUUGGCCAGCAGAGGGCACUGCAUACUGACAGUCUCUCCACACCAGUCGCUCAAAUCCUCAAGAGUUCCCGAAGUGUUAGGCUUAACUCAGGGGUGUUUGCAAGUGCUUUGCUCUUCUGUUUCAGACAUAAACAUAUGUCAGAAAUUAAAAGAGGGUUGUGAAGCAGGAAAUUAGAUUAACAGUAGCAUAUAAUUUCCCUCUAUUUGUUAAUAAAGAGAAAAAAUAUUGGUAUGUACACCCAUGUCUACAGGGUUUUAAAUGUAGCUGUAUUAAUUAAUGUAUUAAUAAUAUGAUAACACUACUUCUUGCAUAAAUCAACAUAACUUCUAAAUUCUCUUUGAAAAUAUUUUUGGUUUUAUAUUGUGGUUUAAUUCUCAAUCAUAAACUAAAAAGUAAAAAAACCUGAUGCCUAAUGUUAUACUUUCUUUCAAACCUUAAGAUAGAUAUUAUUGUUUGAAUAGUAUCAAAAUAUUGUGGUUCUGCACAAAUGCUUUUUAUAACUUCUUACGAUGAUAUUUUAAUUUCUAUUUCCACAUAUGGAUAUGAGUAUUCGAAAACAUUUGACGCACAAUUUUCUUCUCUUCAUCUCCCCAUUAUAAAAAUGUAAAGGUGUGUUUUAAAACCCGUUUGCUCUUGGUUAAACUUGACAAUGUGGAGACCCCUUUGUUAGCUGGUCCUAUGAGUUAAUGCACAGCCUUUGUGUUUUUCAUUUAAGGAAUAAACUAAACUGGUACCAUC